CGAGCGGCGAACGGGUGAGUAACACGUGGGUGAUCUGCCUCGCACUCUGGGAUAAGCCUGGGAAACUGGGUCUAAUACCGGAUAUGACCACUGGUCGCAUGGUUGGUGGUGGAAAGAUUUAUCGGUGCGAGAUGAGCCCGCGGCCUAUCAGCUUGUUGGUGGGGUAAUGGCCUACCAAGGCGACGACGGGUAGCCGGCCUGAGAGGGCGACCGGCCACACUGGGACUGAGACACGGCCCAGACUCCUACGGGAGGCAGCAGUGGGGAAUAUUGCACAAUGGGCGAAAGCCUGAUGCAGCGACGCCGCGUGAGGGAUGACGGCCUUCGGGUUGUAAACCUCUUUCGACAGGGACGAAGCGCAAGUGACGGUACCUGUAGAAGAAGCACCGGCCAACUACGUGCCAGCAGCCGCGGUAAUACGUAGGGUGCGAGCGUUGUCCGGAAUUACUGGGCGUAAAGAGCUUGUAGGCGGCUUGUCGCGUCGAUCGUGAAAACUCACAGCUCAACUGUGAGCUUGCGGUCGAUACGGGCAGGCUUGAGUACUGCAGGGGAGACUGGAAUUCUUGGUGUAGCGGUGAAAUGCGCAGAUAUCAGGAGGAACACCGGUGGCGAAGGCGGGUCUCUGGGCAGUAACUGACGCUGAGAAGCGAAAGCGUGGGUAGCGAACAGGAUUAGAUACCCUGGUAGUCCACGCCGUAAACGGUGGGUACUAGGUGUGGGUUUCCUUCCACGGGAUCCGUGCCGUAGCUAACGCAUUAAGUACCCCGCCUGGGGAGUACGGCCGCAAGGCUAAAACUCAAAGGAAUUGACGGGGGCCCGCACAAGCGGCGGAGCAUGUGGAUUAAUUCGAUGCAACGCGAAGAACCUUACCUGGGUUUGACAUACACCGGAAACCUGCAGAGAUGUAGGCCCCCUUGUGGUCGGUGUACAGGUGGUGCAUGGCUGUCGUCAGCUCGUGUCGUGAGAUGUUGGGUUAAGUCCCGCAACGAGCGCAACCCUUAUCUUAUGUUGCCAGCGCGUAAUGGCGGGGACUCGUGAGAGACUGCCGGGGUCAACUCGGAGGAAGGUGGGGACGACGUCAAGUCAUCAUGCCCCUUAUGUCCAGGGCUUCACACAUGCUACAAUGGCCGGUACAGAGGGCUGCGAUACCGUGAGGUGGAGCGAAUCCCUUAAAGCCGGUCUCAGUUCGGAUCGGGGUCUGCAACUCGACCCCGUGAAGUUGGAGUCGCUAGUAAUCGCAGAUC
rnacentral:rRNA from 1 species